AUUGAACGCUGGCGGCAUGCCUUACACAUGCAAGUCGAACGGCAGCACGGGUGCUUGCACCUGGUGGCGAGUGGCGAACGGGUGAGUAAUACAUCGGAACAUGUCCUGUAGUGGGGGAUAGCCCGGCGAAAGCCGGAUUAAUACCGCAUACGAUCUACGGAUGAAAGCGGGGGACCUUCGGGCCUCGCGCUAUAGGGUUGGCCGAUGGCUGAUUAGCUAGUUGGUGGGGUAAAGGCCUACCAAGGCGACGAUCAGUAGCUGGUCUGAGAGGACGACCAGCCAAACUGGGACUGAGACACGGCCCAGACUCCUAAGGGAGGCAGCAGUGGGGAAUUUUGGACAAUGGGCGAAAGCCUGAUCCAGCAAUGCCGCGUGUGUGAAGAAGGCCUUCGGGUUGUAAAGCACUUUUGUCCGGAAAGAAAUCCUUGGCCCUAAUACGGUCGGGGGAUGACGGUACCGGAAGAAUAAGCACCGGCUAACUACGUG
rnacentral:rRNA from 1 species